AAAUUGUCAUUGCAUAGUGGAGUAAAUAAGUCAUUUAAUAUUAAAUUUUAAUAUAGGGUGCAUUCAACAUUUUGUGGGGUGUUAAUAUAAAAAGCCUUACUUUUUCUAUUAUUUUGAAUGAUUAAGUUUAGGGUUUGUAUGUUUUUUUUUUAAUAUUUGUUUUAUAUGUUUUCUUUGUAAAGAUUUAGACAGAAAAUGUAAAAAGGUGGUCAAGUGCCAAGCACAUGACACUUUCUAACAGAAAAUUAGAUGGAGUUAAAGACACUUAACGGUAGGGGGUGAAUUGGCCACUUUAACAUAGUUU
rnacentral:lncRNA from 1 species